CCCCUGUGGACAUACCUAUACGUUGCCUAUCGCUCGUGAUAGUCGCUGGGGUAAAAAGGGACGGCCCGCCCGAGGACCCUAAACUCUGUUUUUAGUGGAACUUCUGAAGGCUCGCUGAGAUGCUCGCUGAUAGGCCAACAACGGAUCUCUUGGUUCUGGCAUCGAUGAAGAACGAGGCUCGCUGAUGAAAGUAAUGUGAAUUGCAGAAUUCAGUGAAUCAUCGAAUCUUUGAACGCACAUUGCGCCCGCCAGUAUUCUGGCGGGCAUGCCUGUUCGAGCGUCAUUUCAACCCUCAAGCUCAGCUUGGUGUUGAUGCCUCCGGUAACCCGCGUUCCCCAAAUCGAUUGGCGGUCACGUCGAGCUUCCAUAGCGUAGUAAUCAUACACCUCGUUACUGGUAAUCGUCGCGGCCACGCCGUAAAACCCCAACUUCUGAAUGUUGACCUCGGAUCAGGUAGGAAUACCCGCUGAACUUAUGCUCGCUGAUAGUGAUGUCGCUCGUAGAUGCUCGCUGAUA
rnacentral:rRNA from 1 species